UACGGGGGGGGCAAGCGUUGUUCGAAAUUACUGGGCGUAAAGGGUUGUAGGUGGCUUGUUAAGUCAGACGUGAAAUCCCUCAGCUUAACUGGGGAACUGCGUCGUAGAGACUGGUGAGCUUGAGUGCAGGAGAGGACGCGGAAGUUCCAGGUGUAGCGGUGAAAUGCGUAGAUAUCUGGAGGAACACCGGUGGCGAAGGCGGCGUUCUGGACUGCAACUGACACUGAUGAACGAAAGCCAGGGAGCAAACGGG
rnacentral:rRNA from 1 species